rnacentral:rRNA from 1 species
UACAGAGGUCUCGAGCGUUGUUCGGAUUCAUUGGGCGUAAAGGGCGCGUAGGCGGCGGGGUAAGUCUGGUGUGAAAUCUCGGAGCUCAACUCCGAAAUUGCACUGGAUACUGCUCUGCUAGAGGGCUGGAGAGGAGAUCGGAAUUCACGGUGUAGCAGUGAAAUGCGUAGAUAUUAGGAAGAACACCAGUGGCGAAGGCGGCUCACUGGCCCGGUACUGACGCUGAGGCGCGAAAGCGUGGGGGAGCAAACAGG